GUGAGACCAGAAACUGUACUUGGAAUGUUUUGUUGUUGGCUUUUUUUGGUGAGGGAGAUUGUCUCCAAGCUAACGUCUGUGCCUAUUUUCCUCUAUUUUGUACCUGGGAUGCCGCCACAGCAGGGCUGGACGAGUGGUGUGUAGGUCCACGCCUGGGAUCUGAACCCACAAACCCCAUGUCGGGCCACCAAAGCGGAGCAUGUGAACUUAACCACUAUGCCACUCAGCCGGCCCCUGGAUUUUGAUCUUCAGUCAUCGUCUUGACUAAAGUUUAAGCACUCAGAAAUAGUUCCUAUCAGUCCAACAGACGUCUUUACCAAUUUAGGGCUGUGUAUUUGACCAGGACUACGGGAAGGAAACGUUAAUCCUAAAAGAAAAAAAAUCACUGAAAUGAUACUGGACUGUGAAAUGGAUUGAAGUGAAGAAGAUGUGUGCGCUCUGAACCCCUGAAGCAUGAGCCUCACUCCGUCCAACAGAAGGUGGUGCUGAGAUCUGCAGAAGCCAAAUGAGGAAAUUAUGAUGAAAUAUUUGACCUACAUCGGGAAAUGUCAAUUAAAAUAAGGUACACUUGCCUGAUGCAUAUGGAGACUGAAGUAGCAGUAAUUUUCCAGCUUCUCGUUCUACUAGUUACCAACCAGCUCUACGAGCAAAAACAUCUGGGAAGCCAGAUACCAUUGGUAGAACAGGUUUUGUUUCUUUUUAUUUCCAGAAGUGCUCUAAAAUUCAUGCUCCGAAAAUCGCCAGAGGAAAAGAAUACGGGUUUGUAGUGAAAAUCUCUCUUUCACAAGAAAAGGCAUUAGAGAUAAAUUUCUUGAUUUUCCCCUGUGUUUGAUCUCCAUACAACUGACAUCCUUGUUUACGUGAUGGCUUCAGCAAGGAUUGGUCUCUCACCUCUCUGUCUGAUGCAUGGAGCACACUCCAUUUCUUUCCAAGGAUCAAAGCUCUGUUUUGCAACCUUGCGGAUUUUGUAUCUGUCCAGGGGAGUCAUAGUUGUGGCAACUCAUGGAGAAGAGAAAAAAGGAAGUGAACACAAACACACACAUGAACAAAC
rnacentral:lncRNA from 1 species